GGUACGUUUCAUAAAAUACUUCAUUCUGAACCCAGGACUCUGCCAAGCUCCCGUGUUGGUUGAGACUUGUAGAAGCAAUGAUUUAUAAAUUACAAACAGCAGCAAAGCAACAGCUGUUUCAGCAUCUGUCAUUGCCUGUGACAGAAAUACACGCAAAGCCCCGGGAACCUCAAGGUGUCAACCCAAGCAACCUGCUGCUACAGGCUUCCAUCAAUCAGAGUGACCGGCGCACGGCCACAGCUCCCAAUGGCAGCAAACAAAUGCUUCCAGCACGCUGCUCUCCGCCUGCCCUGGUGACUAACAGCUCAGGGGAAAAGAAGUUUGCAAGCAAUUUAUGGGUGGAAAAAAAAGGAUGGUCAAGGCUAAAGGCUGGCAGCAUCCCGAGCACGAUAUUUGCUCAGCAAAGCAGAUGAGCAGCAGAUUAUUAAAGCAAGAGCGUGGAACGGAUACUCCAAUUGGACCGAAGGAUCAAGUUGACAACACAAAAAGAUAGAAGCAGAGCUGGACAUUUUCAUCAAACGGGGCCUCGUUUCGCUGUGUAUGAUGUUAGUUCCGAAUGUCUUCUUGAGACCUCUUAGCAGAGCCUCGGUGGUUCUCCCACACACAGCUGGGGAUGAGAACAGGUCGAGCCAAGAACUCACAGGGACGUGAAAGUGAAAGCAGCAAUCAGUAAGGAAGGAAGAGCAUUUCCUUCCUAUUUCUCUUAGUUUUUUAAAGAGAUCUAGACAGUGUUUUUCAGAUCAAUUUCACAGGGACACUUUCGAGGGUCUGAUGGUUUACGAGAAGCCAGGAGCCCUGAUUAGCAGCACAAAUGCUGGCACUGCCAACAAGUGCAGGUCUCAGAGGCACCUCAGUGUCAGUGCUCCCAAGUGGGAGAGAGGUUGUUCAGGUAAUUCAUUUUACCAACACAUACAGCAAUAUUUUCAAUAAUUCUGUCUAGUCUGUUGCAAUUUUAUUGUCUAGUAAGAGGUAAUGGAUAAAAACGACCUGACCUUUUGUUAGUAAACUUCCACCAGGCUACACAUAAUAUUACUGAGCACUUCAUAUCCUCAGAGUGCUGCACAAAUAGUAAGUAAUGGAUCCACACGGUAAUUGUCCUGCACAAUGAGGAGCAAAGAGAGCAGCAUUUACAGUAAACACUGGGAGCACAGGGUGCAGGGCCCAUCCACAACACAAAGCUCUCUGAUUUUGGAGGUUGUGUAACACCAGCAUUGGGUCCUGGUCGUGUUGUAACUGGCCUAGAAAAACAGACCUGGAAGGGCCAAAAACCAAAACCAGUUGCAUAACAGUAAUCCAUUUCUGGCUUUCUUUUAGUUAAGAACGAAAUUAACUUUCAAUUGAUUAGGAAUUAAAAGCAUAACAGGGAAUAUAGCCCAAAUGCACCGCAGAAGAGGCAACAGACCCGCAUAGAACACACUCUUGCCUCCAACCUUUAAAGCUAUUAACCCUGGCAUGAAUUUUUAUUUACUGUUAAUUAGGGGACUGGCAGCAAGAAUCAAUUAAUUAAUUACAUCUCAGAUCCACUGGAAAGGAUAAUGGAAAUCAAAGAGAGCUUGAUUAUCCUGCAUCCACGGAGAAAAGACUGCAAAGCAACCCUGGAUAACAGCACUGCCUUUAAGUGGGAAGAAAUCAGGGUUUAAACAAAAUAAAUGAAUAAGCAAACAAAUAAAUAUUGAAGUCUAGUGAGCAAGAUUGUAUCUCAUGUCAGAAAUGAUGAACCCUCCCGUGACUUGGGUCACCCUCUGGGACAAUACCCAUCCCUGGCUUCUGCUUCCAUGUUCACCUCUGGAGCAUUCUGUUCUUGGGGCUUUCCCAUCUCAGCCCUGCAGAGUUCUCCCUUCCGCUCCUCACCUGCAAAGCACCCCUCAGGUUCAGGUGAUGGGAGUGCUGGGGAAGGCCCAGAAGGUCUCCAGGGAGGUGUUCCUGCAGGACGCAGAGGGGGAUGGCAGUGCACAUCCUUAUCCUCUGGGGAACACGCAUGUUUUCCUAUGGCAUCUAUUUGGGCAAAAUUAUGGACUGGAUUUGGUUUUGUUUCAUUUUUCACUGCCCAAGGUACAAUUAGCUAAAUAGCAUCACAGACAGUGAUCAGCAGGUGCUAAUUAGAAUAGGAUUUCUGUCAAGUUACACAUUGCAUAAUCAUGGCCUGACAAAGCAGUUCUGUUUUCACAGAAGGAGCGUGUGCUGCUGUAGGCAUCCUACGGAUGGGGCAGGGCAGGGCAUGGCGCUCAGCUGAGACAUCUGCCCUCUUCUGUGUUGGUUUGGGCAGGAAACUUCCACCCAGGCAUUCUAUCAGGGCAGGAUAACAACAUUUGGGCUUUCUGAUGAUGGCUCACAGGGCCACGGGAUCAGGGGGCGCGCUGCAUGCUCAGCCCAUCCAUCACUCAUCAGUGUCACAGCAGAGGAUAAAUAUUUACAAAUGGAUUGUCAGUUCUGCUGUGACAAAUUAUCCCCAGCCAUCGCCGAGACGGUUCGAGAUGUGUUGAGCCAGACCUAAACGUUUGGUUAAGAAAUGUCUGAGAGGAAAAUCAGCGGGAAAGAAAGGAAAGCUGCCUGUGCCUGAAGGCCUCGCACUGAAGGACGAAACAUAGCAUCAUAGCAUUGUUAGUGCUGGAAAAGCCCUCUCGGAUCAUCUAAUCCAACCACGGACCAACAUGGAGCAGCUGCCUUCGCACUGCAUUCUUGCCCCUGGUUUGGGACAUCCAUACUUAGCAACGGGAGGAACUCCUUAUCGCCACGGCGGGUGGAGGAGGACGGCACAGCCACGCUCGGGAUGCAAGCUGCACGUUGGAGGAAGAAUAGAUUUUCUUUCUCCUUCGUUAUCCUUUGGCCACAAACGUGUACUUAAAAGUCCUGCA
ensembl:lncRNA